AUGAGAAAACUGAGGCUGAGGUUCAAAGAAUAAACUCACCAACCCAAGUAUCUAUUUAUAAACACAGAUUCAUCUGACUAUGAGGUUUAGAUGAUUUUAUUUUUAAGAGAAAAGGCUCAUGACUGUCUCCAAUCCUGAAAAGCUUGGACUUAUUAUCGAGUGUUUCUGUUCUUUUGUCGUUCCUGGCUAUGAAAUUCUUCAGCUGCAUUGCCAUUCUAGUGAAGCACCAUCUUGUGCAAAUAUUUUCUCCCAUGCUAGUGAGUCUCCUUCAGGCAAUUAUGAUAUUUUUUCAACCUACUUGGGAAUAUGGCCCAGAAUCGAUUCUGGUAGCAGCUUGGGUCUUUCAGCCCGCACAGAUGGUGCAUUUCCAAACUGAUGUCCAUUUAUAAGUGUCUCUGCUUCCCCCUUCUUCCAAAUGCUCAUGUUUUUGGCCACAACUUCAAAAAGCUGGGCAGAGAUAUUUUAGCUUCUGUCAAAGGAAGAAUGGAGAUAUCAACCAACAACUCUCCUUCAGAAGUUCUAUUCUAGUUCCUUGCCAGGCCUGGGCACUCUGGAUGAGUUGAAACACUCAUCCUGGUCGCAGAUAUGGCUCCAGUUUCCCAUGAGCCACAAACCAUGCAACACGCCUUUCUACCUCUCAUGCAGACAAUGUCCUUUAGAUUUUGAGUGUAGCUAUGUCCUUUUGCCAGUUAUUCAUCAUGAUUCUCUAUAUACUCUAUGUGCACACUGUGUGUAUUUUAUAGUUUCUGAAAAGGUAUAAAAAUAUGUGAUUAUAUUUUAAGUUGUAAUAAGUGAAGAGCUGUCGCUCCCCCUC
rnacentral:lncRNA from 1 species